rfam:Bacteroides reticulotermitis JCM 10512 DNA, contig: contig00036.
GCAGUUGGCCGGUCUGUCGCGUGUACAUUUUGUACAGGAGGAAAGUCCGGGCAACAUAGAGCAUCCUACUUCCUAACAGAAAGCUGUCCGCGAGGGUAGAGUAACGUAGAAGAAAAUAACCGCCUCUCCUUUCGGGGAGAGGUAAGGGUGAGAAGGUGGGGUAAGAGCCUACCAGCUACAUGGCGACAUGUAGGCUGUGCGUCUUGGGAGUUGUAAGGUCAUGUAUACCGGCGUUAUGAGAGUCGCUCGCUCCAUGUCGGAGGGUAGACCGCUAAAGUGACUUGGUGACAUUUCACUCAGAUAAAUGACAGACACCUUGAUUUAUUAAGGUACAGAACCCGGCUUACAGGCUGACUGCUUUU